CCAGACUCCUACGGGAGGCAGCAGUAGGGAAUCUUCGGCAAUGGACGGAAGUCUGACCGAGCAACGCCGCGUGAGUGAAGAAGGUUUUCGGAUCGUAAAGCUCUGUUGUAAGAGAAGAACGGGUGUGAGAGUGGAAAGUUCACACUGUGACGGUAUCUUACCAGAAAGGGACGGCUAACUACGUGCCAGCAGCCGCGGUAAUACGUAGGUCCCGAGCGUUGUCCGGAUUUAUUGGGCGUAAAGCGAGCGCAGGCGGUUAGAUAAGUCUGAAGUUAAAGGCUGUGGCUUAACCAUAGUACGCUUUGGAAACUGUUUAACUUGAGUGCAAGAGGGGAGAGUGGAAUUCCAUGUGUAGCGGUGAAAUGCGUAGAUAUAUGGAGGAACACCGGUGGCGAAAGCGGCUCUCUGGCUUGUAACUGACGCUGAGGCUCGAAAGCGUGGGGAGCAAACAGGAUUAGAUACCCUGGUAGUCCACGCCGUAAACGAUGAGUGCUAGGUGUUAGACCCUUUCCGGGGUUUAGUGCCGUAGCUAACGCAUUAAGCACUCCGCCUGGGGAGUACGACCGCAAGGUUGAAACUCAAAGGAAUUGACGGGGGCCCGCACAAG
rnacentral:rRNA from 1 species